CCUACGGGAGGCAGCAGUGAGGAAUAUUGGUCAAUGGCCGGAAGGCUGAACCAGCCAUGCCGGGUGAAGGUCAGUGCCCUAUGGGCGUUAAACUUCUUUUGUGCGGGAGCAAUAAUGGUCACGUGUGGCCAGACGAGAGUACCGUACGAAUAAGCAUCGGCUAACUCCGUGCCAGCAGCCGCGGUAAUACGGGGGAUGCAAGCGUUAUCCGGAUUUAUUGGGGUUAAAGGGUGCGUAGGCUGGUAGGUAAGUCAGCGGUGAAAUGCCCCCGCUCAACGGGGUGAAGUGCCAUUGAUACUGCCUUGCUGGAAUGCGGAUGCCGUGGGAGGAAUGUGUGGUGUAGCGGUGAAAUGCAUAGAUAUCACACAGAACACCGAUUGCGAAGGCAUCUCACGAAUCCGCGAUUGACGCUGAUGCACGAAAGCGUGGGUAUCAAACAGGAUUAGAUACCCCAGUAGUC
rnacentral:rRNA from 1 species